GGUGGCUCAAUGGUAGAGUGCUUGCCUUGCAUGCAUGAGGCUCUGGGUUCGAUUCCUUAGCACCA
rnacentral:tRNA from 1 species